UAUUGGUGUGCCAGAACCAUUGUCAGUCUUUGUGGACACUUACACGACAGGGAAGAUUCCAGACAAAGAUAUUUUGGCAUUGAUUAAGGAGAAUUUUGACUUCAGGCCUGGAAUGAUUGCUAUCAAUCUUGACUUGAAGAAAGGAGGCAACUUCAGGUACCAGAAGACUGCUGCUUAUGGUCAUUUUGGUCGUGAUGAACCAGAUUUCACUUGGGAGACUGUCAAGCUCCUCAAACCCAAGGCCUGAGUCUUCUGGGUUUGGCUUUAUAUAUUUUAGAGAUGAUACUAUCCUAGCCAACAUUCUGCUUGGUGGGGGAGAAUAAAGAAAGCUUCAGCACAUGCAUCUGACUGAUAUUGCAGUGAACAUUUCAAGGCCCAAGCGAGGUGUUGUUCAGGAUGUAUGCUUCAAGUUGAGCUUGUAGUUUGGUUAGGAAUGGUUAGUAACCACAUAUUCAUUUGUCUUUACAUUUUUCUUUUACAUUUUUUUCAAUCUUAACAAAAAGAAAUUAAAAUUCUAUCUUGCCAUUUGUUUGAUCCGAUCAAUUUUGAAACUAUAGUUUGUUUGUGUA
rnacentral:misc_RNA from 1 species